rnacentral:rRNA from 1 species
UGCGUAGGCGGACCGAUAAGUCAGAGGUGAAAUCUGUCGGCUCAACUGGCAAAUUGCCUCUGAAACUGUCGGUCUUGAGUCCGGAAAAGGAAGGUGGAAUUCCUGGUGUAGCGGUGAAAUGCGUAAAUAUCAGGAGGAACACCGGUGGCGAAGGCGGCCUUCUGGUCCGGUACUGACGCUGAGGCACGAAAGCCAGGGGAGCGAACAGGAUUAGAUACCCUGGUAGUCC